rnacentral:rRNA from 1 species
CCUACGGGUGGCAGCAGUGGGGAAUCUUCGACAAUGGGGGAAACCCUGAUCCAGCGACGCCGCGUGAGUGAAGAAGUAUUUCGGUACGUAAAGCUCUAUCAGCAGGGAAGAAAAUGACGGUACCUGACUAAGAAGCCCCGGCUAACUACGUGCCAGCAGCCGCGGGAAUACGUAGGGGGCAAGCGUUAUCCGGAUUUACUGGGUGUAACGGGAGCGUAGACGGCAGCGCAAGUCUGGAGUGAAAGGCCGGGGUCCAACCCCGGAAGUGCUCUGGAAACUGUGAAGCUGGAGUGCAGGAGAGGAGAGCGGAAUUCCAGGUGUAGCGGUGAAAUGCGUAGAUAUCAGGAGGAACACCAGCGGCGAAGGCGGCUUACUGGACUGUAACUGACGUUGAGGCUCGAAGGCGUGGGGAGCAAACAGGAUUAGAUACCCUUGUAGUC